rnacentral:lncRNA from 1 species
CUCUUGUUUUGGUGCUUAAUUUGUUUUGGCAAUGUUUUGGUGCUUAAUUUGUAAAAUCAUAAUGUAAUUUUAUGUUUAAUAGGCUUUUUGUUGUCGGAACCUAGGGGCAAGGACGGUGGGUUGUGUUGCCAAGUUUCGUGGUUCUGGGAUGUGUGGUUUUGUUGCAACCUUCACGGCGGCCAGUUUUUUACUCCUUUAUAUAUAUUUACAGAGUGCAAUAGGAUAUAGAAAGAUACACUUCAAUGUCCCUUGCCUGAAAUCUUCAUAGGAUUGGGUGAGGUCUUUCAGGGCAAUGCAGUGGUCAGGUUGGUAAGAAAGCCAUGCAUCUGCUCGCCAAAAGUCACUUUCUCCUGGUUCGGAAUAUUCCUCCUUUCAACGCUUGGUUCAUGUUGCAAUCCUAGAAUUCGGACAGAAGAUGGCAAUAGAGGAAUAUGGAUUUCAGGUACAUAAUACAGCAUCGAAUCAAUGCACUUCGACACCAUUUGAUCUCCCACAGCUCAAGGCUAUGAGACUCUGGAAGUUGCAGUUUUCCACGGCCUUUUGCAGCAGUGGUUGAACCUCCGAGUGGCGCAUUGAAAGCACAUGCUUUUUCACCGUAAACGAGUCCUGGUAGCUUUCCUUCCCCUUCCGACCGGAUAGCAUCCAAGGCAGCUGAGAUCCGUCACCAUCAUCUGUCCAUUGCCUUCUUCCCGAGAGAUUUGCGGGAUUUUUCAAAGGCAACGCUCAUGGGAUCAUUCCAAAAGUCAAGAGGGAGGUUUGUAGAUGGUCCCUAUUUCAUGCGACAGAGUUGGAAGGAUGAUAGCUUUAUAUUUAUUUAUUUAUUAUUUAUUUACAAUAUUUAUAUUCCGCCCUUCUUUCUCACCCCAAAGGGGACUCAGGGCGGAUCACAUUAUACACAUAUAGGCAAACAUUCAAUGUCCGUAUUAUACACAUAGAACCGAGACAGAGACAGACGCAGAGGUAAUUUAACCUUCUUCUGAGGGGAUGUUUGAUUCUGGCCACAGGGGGGAGCAGCUGCUUCAUCAUCCACUGUGAUGGCACUUCCUCAUUCCAACGUUGUAAAUUAGUUAAAUUUGUCUUUAUAAGUGGUACCUUAUUUCCUACUUGAUAGAUGCAACUAUCUUUCGGGUUGCUAGGUCAGCAACGAGCAGGAGCUAUUUUUUAUUUUUUUAAUUGACGGGUGCUCACCCCGCCACGGGCUGGCCUCGAACUCAUGACCUCUUGGUCAGAGUGAUUUAUUGCAGCAGGCUGCUCACCAGCCUGCGCCACAGCCGGGCACAGGCUGGUGCUAUACAAAGUACAAUGAUGGUUCAAAUCAUAUGUGGUACACAAUAUGUAUAUUAGAGCAUCAUAUACAUAUUACUGUAU